rnacentral:snRNA from 1 species
AUACCUUUCUCGGCCUUUUGGCUAAGAUCAAGUGUAGUAUCUGUUCUUAUCAGUUUAAUAUCUGAUAUGUGGGCCAUCGGCUCACACGAUAUUAACUCAAUUUUUUAAAGGGAAAGGUUCACCAAGGUAGCUUGCUAUCUGGACUUUUGCGCGUCGUCUAGGUCUUGCACUAUUGCUUGGGCCUGGCGCACCCCCA